GACGAACCGUGCGAACGUUGUUCGGAAUCACUGGGCUUAAAGGGCGCGUAGGCGGCCAUUCAAGUCAGGGGUGAAAGCCUGUGGCUCAACCACAGAAUUGCCUUUGAUACUGUUUGGCUAGAGACCGGAAGAGGUAAGUGGAACUGCGAGUGUAGAGGUGAAAUUCGUAGAUAUUCGCAAGAACACCAGUGGCGAAGGCGGCUUACUGGUCCGGUUCUGACGCUGAGGCGCGAAAGCGUGGGGAGCAAACAGG
rnacentral:rRNA from 1 species